AAACAUUGAGGGAAAGAAUGUGGAUGAUUUCAGAUGUCAUAUAAAACAAAUCAGUUACAGAAAAUAUGCAAGUGAUGAAAAUAGCAUGUUGUACAGGACCAGAAAACUAUGCAAAAAUUUUGCAUAGUUAAUAUUAAUACAAAUUCAAACAUUGAUAAAAUCAGAGUUAAACAAACAGUACAAAACAUAAAGGUAUCUCCACUCUAGGUAGAGGAAAUUAUUUACCUGCAACCCUAGCAAAGUGUUUCCCUGACUGCACUUUGAAAGUGUAUUAUUAGCAAUGAAUAUAGUGUGCACAAAUUUUACAUAACUAAUAUUUAUUCAUUUUCAAACAUUGUCAACAAAAAGUACAAAACAUACAGGUGCUUGCGUAAAAUCAAAUUCAUAUAGAGAAAAUUAUACACUUGUAGACCUAAGGCAGUGUUCCCUGACUGUACUUUGACAAAUUGCAAUUUUUCCUAUUAACGGUGUAUUACUGUAAGGGAUUCUCAGCUACAUGUUUAAGUCAGUAAUUUGAAGGCAAAUGAAUUUCACGUUAGGGAUUGUUUAGUACUUUUAGGUAACAACAUAGUCAAUUUUUUUUUUCAUUGUGAAAUCACAAAAUAC
rnacentral:misc_RNA from 1 species